rnacentral:rRNA from 1 species
AGAGUUUGAUCAUGGCUCAGGAUGAACGCUAGCGGCAGGCCUAACACAUGCAAGUCGAGGGGUAACGAUUAUUUAGCUUGCUAAAUAAGGCGACGACCGGCGCACGGGUGAGUAACGCGUAUGCAACCUACCUUUAACUGGGGGAUAGCCCGAAGAAAUUCGGAUUAAUACCCCAUAAUAUAUAUGAGUCACCUGAUUUAUAUAUUAAAACUCCGGUGGUUAAAGAUGGGCAUGCGUGACAUUAGAUAGUUGGUAAGGUAACGGCUUACCAAGUCUACGAUGUCUAGGGGGCCUGAGAGGGUAAUCCCCCACACUGGUACUGAGACACGGACCAGACUCCUACGGGAGGCAGCAGUGAGGAAUAUUGGGCAAUGGGGGCAACCCUGACCCAGCCAUGCCGCGUGCAGGAUGACGGCUCUAUGAGUUGUAAACUGCUUUUACACGGGAAUAAUUGCAGAUACGUGUAUCUGUUUGAAUGUACCGUAUGAAUAAGCACCGGCUAACUCCGUGCCAGCAGCCGCGGUAAUACGGAGGGUGCAAGCGUUAUCCGGAUUUAUUGGGUUUAAAGGGUGCGUAGGCGGAAGUAUAAGUCAGUGGUGAAAUCUUGCAGCUUAACUGUAAAAUUGCCAUUGAUACUGUAUUUCUUGAGUACAGUUGAGGUAGGCGGAAUGUGUAAUGUAGCGNUGAAAUGCUUAGAUAUUACACAGAACACCGAUNGCGUAGGCNGCUUACUAAACUGUAACUGANGCUGAG